rnacentral:misc_RNA from 1 species
GAUGAAGAACGCAGCGAAAUGCGAUACGUAAUGUGAAUUGCAGAAUUCAGUGAAUCAUCGAGUCUUUGAACGCACAUUGCGCCCCCUGGUAUUCCGGGGGGCAUGCCUGUCCGAGCGUCAUUGCUGCCCUCAAGCACGGCUUGUGUGUUGGGCCUCCGUCCUCCUCCCGGGGGACGGGCCCGAAAGGCAGCGGCGGCACCGCGUCCGGUCCUCGAGCGUAUGGGGCUUCGUCACCCGCUCUUGUAGGCCCGGUCGGCGCUUGCCGACACAUCAAUCUUUUUUCCAGGUUGACCUCGGAUCAGGUAGGGAUACCCGCUGAACUUAAGCUUAUCAAUAAGCGGAGGA